GUCCACGCCGUAAACGAUGAUCACUAGUAAUGUGGGGUUUCGACCCCUUGCGUUACGAAGCUAACGCGUUAAGUGAUCCGCCUGGGGGAGUACGAACGCAAGUUUAAAACUCAAAGGAAUUGACGGGGACCCGCACAAGCAGUGGAGGAUGUGGUUUAAUUCGAGGCAACGCGCAGAACCUUACCGAGACUUGACAUCUCUGGAAAGCCGCCGAAAGGUGGCCGUGCCUUCGGGAACCAGAUGACAGGUGCUGCAUGGCCGUCGU
rnacentral:rRNA from 1 species